UACAGAGGUCCCAAGCGUUGUUCGGAUUCACUGGGCGUAAAGGGUGCGUAGGUGGCCAGGUAAGUUCGGUGUGAAAGCUCGGAGCUCAACUCCGAAAAGUCAUUGAAUACUAUCUGGCUGGAGGGUCGGAGGGGAGACUGGAAUUCUCGGUGUAGCAGUGAAAUGCGUAGAUAUCGAGAGGAACACCAGUGGCGAAGGCGAGUCUCUGGGCCGAAACUGACGCUGAGGAGCGAAAGCGUGGGGAGCAAACAGG
rnacentral:rRNA from 1 species